CAACUUGAGAGUUUGAUCCUGGCUCAGAGCGAACGCUGGCGGCAGGCCUAACACAUGCAAGUCGAGCGCCCCGCAAGGGGAGCGGCAGACGGGAGAGUAACACGUGGGAACGUACCCUUCAGUUCGGAACAACCCAGGGAAACUUGGGCUAAUACCGGAUACGUCCGUAAGGAGAAAGAUUUAUCGCUGAAGGAUCGGCCCGCGUCUGAUUAGCUUGUUGGUGAGGUAACGGCUCACCAAGGCUACGAUCAGUAGCUGGUCUGAGAGGAUGAUCAGCCUCACUGGGACUGAGACACGGCCCAGACUCCUACGGGAGGCAGCAGUGGGGAAUAUUGGACAAUGGGCGCAAGCCUGAUCCAGCCAUGCCGCGUGAGUGAUGAAGGCCCUAGGGUUGUAAAGCUCUUU
rnacentral:rRNA from 1 species